rnacentral:misc_RNA from 1 species
GAAAUGCGAUAACUAAUGUGAAUUGCAGAAUUCCGUGAAUCAUCGAGUCUUUGAACGCACAUUGCACCCUCUGGUAUUCCGGGGGGUAUAUCUGUCCGAGCGUCAUUACAACCUUAAAGCCCGGCUUUUUAUUGGAUUCUAGUUCUGCUUCGGCGGGACGGGUCCGAAAUAGAUUAAUGACGUCGCGAUUUACCACGGAAUCGAGCGAAUGGAAUCAUUAACGCUCUGAUUUGAAGUGGCCGACGGUCUUCUGAAGCGGUCCUUUUGGAUCGUCUUUUUAACGGUUGACCUCGGAUCAGAUAAGGAUACCCGCUGAACUUAA